rnacentral:rRNA from 1 species
UGAGUAACACGUGGGCAAUCUGCCCUGCACUUCGGGAUAAGCCUGGGAAACUGGGUCUAAUACCGGAUAGGACCUUUAGACGCAUGUCUUUUGGUGGAAAGCUUUUGCGGUGUGGGAUGGGCCCGCGGCCUAUCAGCUUGUUGGUGGGGUGAUGGCCUACCAAGGCGACGACGGGUAGCCGGCCUGAGAGGGUGUCCGGCCACACUGGGACUGAGAUACGGCCCAGACUCCUACGGGAGGCAGCAGUGGGGAAUAUUGCACAAUGGGCGCAAGCCUGAUGCAGCGACGCCGCGUGGGGGAUGACGGCCUUCGGGUUGUAAACCUCUUUCACCAUCGACGAAGGUCCGGGUUUUCUCGGAUUGACGGUAGGUGGAGAAGAAGCACCGGCCAACUACGUGCCAGCAGCCGCGGUAAUACGUAGGGUGCGAGCGUUGUCCGGAAUUACUGGGCGUAAAGAGCUCGUAGGUGGUUUGUCGCGUUGUUCGUGAAAUCUCACGGCUUAACUGUGAGCGUGCGGGCGAUACGGGCAGACUAGAGUACUGCAGGGGAGACUGGAAUUCCUGGUGUAGCGGUGGAAUGCGCAGAUAUCAGGAGGAACACCGGUGGCGAAGGCGGGUCUCUGGGCAGUAACUGACGCUGAGGAGCGAAAGCGUGGGGAGCGAACAGGAUUAGAUACCCUGGUAGUCCACGCCGUAAACGGUGGGUACUAGGUGUGGGUUUCCUUCCUUGGGAUCCGUGCCGUAGCUAACGCAUUAAGUACCCCGCCUGGGGAGUACGGCCGCAAGGCUAAAACUCAAAAGGAAUUGACGGGGGGCCCGCACAA